rnacentral:siRNA from 1 species
AGCGUGUCUAGCCGCCGGAGCGAC